rnacentral:rRNA from 1 species
GAUGAACGCUGGCGGCGUGCCUAAUACAUGCAAGUCGAACGCACAGCGAAAGGUGCUUGCACCUUUCAAGUGAGUGGCGAACGGGUGAGUAACACGUGGACAACCUGCCUCAAGGCUGGGGAUAACAUUUGGAAACAGAGGCUAAUACCGAAUAAAACUCAGUGUCGCAUGACACAAAGUUAAAAGGCGCUUUGGCGUCACCUAGAGAUGGAUCCGCGGUGCAUUAGUUAGUUGGUGGGGUAAAGGCCUACCAAGACAAUGAUGCAUAGCCGAGUUGAGAGACUGAUCGGCCACAUUGGGACUGAGACACGGCCCAAACUCCUACGGGAGGCUGCAGUAGGGAAUCUUCCACAAUGGGCGAAAGCCUGAUGGAGCAACGCCGCGUGUGUGAUGAAGGCUUUCGGGUCGUAAAGCACUGUUGUAUGGGAAGAACAGCUAGAAUAGGGAAUGAUUUUAGUUUGACGGUACCAUACCAGAAAGGGACGGCUAAAUACGUGCCAGCAGCCGCAGUAA